rnacentral:misc_RNA from 1 species
CUGUUCCAUAACACACUAGAAACCCUAACCAUGGGCUUCCAAAGGACAGGUUCCCAUAGGGGCAGGUAUAUACGAGGUCAGGUGGCCCUUGGCUGAAGACCUUUUUCAAGAGCUUCCAGCUUUUCCGCAAUUAUGUCGAUCGUCGAUGGAAAUAACUUCUAUUAUUCGGUCAGGGCCCGGAUGACACACGUUCGUGGUUCCGCCAGAGGAAGGUCAGAUGGAGAUCACGAGAUUAGAUCGGGACAAAGAAGGUCGAAGAAGGGAGUCGAGACGAAAUGGAAAGAGAGGAAGAACGAGCGAAGCGAACAGUCGCGGAAUCGAG